ensembl:snRNA U6 U6 spliceosomal RNA
GUGGUCACUUCGGCAGCACAUAUCCUCAAAUUGGAACGAUACAGAGAAGAUUAGUAUGGCCUCUGUGCAAAGAUGACAUGCAAAUUCAUGAAGCGUUCCAUAUUUUA